rnacentral:tRNA from 1 species
GCAGGGAUGGCGGAGCCUGGUCAAACGCGACGGACUCAAGAUCCGCUGGCUUAGGCCUACGGGAGUUCAAAACAUAGAACAAAUCUCCCUCCCUGCA